rnacentral:lncRNA from 1 species
AAAGCUGAACACUCUGCUGGUUCUGUUAAGCGGGAGAGUGCAUCCGCUACUCGAUUACUUGCCCCACUACGAUAUUGAAUAUCAAAAUCAUAUCCCAUGAUUUUGGUGAUCCAUUUUUGAUAUUCAACUCCAACAAUCCUCUGCUCCAAAAGGAAUUUUAAGCUCUGUUGGUCUGUUCGCACAAUGAAUCGCCUUCUCAGUAAGUACGGCUGCCAUUUCAGGAUUGCAAACACUAUGGCCAUUAGUUCUUUCUCAUAUAUGGACUUAAGGCGAGCCCGGGGCCCCAAAACUUGGCUGUAGUAAGCUACUGGUUGUUGCCCCUGUAGUAGAACAGCCCUUAACCCAAAACCAGAUGCAUCAGUCUCAAUAAUAAAUGGCUUUGUGAAAUCAGGCAAGUACGGCCGCCAUUUCAGGAUUGCAAACACUAUGGCCAUUAGUUCUUUCUCAUAUAUGGACUUAAG